rnacentral:lncRNA from 1 species
AUGUUUUCGAUUUUGAUUGUAGGUCGUUCCGGUAGCAGAAAGAAGGGGAGGGAUCGAGGAUUCUGGUCGACUUCCGGAGGAAGCUUUGGUGGGAGCGUUUCUCAGUUCGUGUAUAGGUGAGGAAAUCCAAAUUCAAAGCACAGCCUGGAUUCGAAACAUCAGUUCAGAAUAUUGGUCCAACUUCUAAGGAAGUUCAUAAUAAAAUAUACUGAUACAAAGCUCCUACAACUGGUGGAUUAUAAAAAUCUGCCCUACUCCUUGCUGUUUUACUGUUUAUGUGAGAGAACUUCACUUAAGAAUACUGGUCUGGUUUCUGAGCUCUCGAUUACCGCCUUUUGCCUACUUGGUUCCAGGAUCAGUGACACUUGAAAGAAGUUAGAGAGAAGUUCGUUAUAGGUUUUCUUAAAUUGUAUUCAUUUGUCUGCAAUAUUUUAUUGGGUAAAUUCCUCCUAUGGUACCUGAGGUAUUGUUACUUGGACAGUUUGAUACCUGAUGUAUUAAAGGGGACAGUUUGGUACUUGAAGUUAGACUCCGUUUGACACUUUGGUACUUCUGUUAAUUUUUCUGU